rnacentral:tRNA from 1 species
CGGGCUGUGGCGCAGCUUGGUAGCGCGCGACGUUUGGGACGUCGAGGUCGUCGGUUCAAGUCCGACCAGCCCGACCA